UACGAAGGGGGCUAGCGUUGCUCGGAAUCACUGGGCGUAAAGGGUGCGUAGGCGGGUCUUUAAGUCAGGGGUGAAAUCCUGGAGCUCAACUCCAGAACUGCCUUUGAUACUGAAGAUCUUGAGUUCGGGAGAGGUGAGUGGAACUGCGAGUGUAGAGGUGAAAUUCGUAGAUAUUCGCAAGAACACCAGUGGCGAAGGCGGACUCACUGGUCCGGUACUGACGCUGAGGUGCGAAAGCGUGGGGAGCAAACAGGG
rnacentral:rRNA from 1 species